rnacentral:rRNA from 1 species
UUUACUGACGCUAAAGCUCGAAGGUGCGGGUAUCGAACAGGAUUAGAUACCCUGGUAGUCCGCACGGUAAACGAUGGAUGCCCGCUGUUGGCGAUACAGUGUCAGCGGCCAAGCGAAAGCGUUAAGCAUCCCACCUGGGGAGUACGCCGGCAACGGUGAAACUCAAAGGAAUUGACGGGGGCCCGCACAAGCGGAGGAACAUGUGGUUUAAUUCGAUGAUACGCGAGGAACCUUACCCGGGCUUGAACUGCCGGCGAACGAUACAGAGAUGUUGAGGCCCUUCGGGGCGCCGGUGGAGGUGCUGCAUGGUUGUCGUCAGCUCGUGCCGUGAGGUGUCGGCUUAAGUGCCAUAACGAGCGCAACCCUUUUCAUUAGUUGCCAUCAGGUAAUGCUGGGCACUCUGGUGAUACUGCCACCGUAAGGUGUGAGGAAGGUGGGGAUGACGUCAAAUCAGCACGGCCCUUACGUCCGGGGCUACACACGUGUUACAAUGGGGGGUACAGAGCGUCAGGUGCCGGCAACGUCGCCUCAAUCGCGAAAGCCCUCCUCAGUUCGGAUUGGGGUCUGCAACCCGACCCCAUGAAGCUGGAUCGCUAGUAAU